AAUACUGUAUAAUCCCCGAGGGGGAAAGAUUUAUCGCUAUUAGAUGAGCCUACGUUAGAUUAGCUAGUUGGUGAGGUAAUGGCUUACCAAGGCUAUGAUCUAUAGCUGGUCUGAGAGGACGAUCAGCCACACUGGAACUGAGAUACGGUCCAGACUCCUACGGGAGGCAGCAGUGGGGAAUAUUGGACAAUGGGCGAAAGCCUGAUCCAGCUAUGCCGCGUGAGUGAAGAAGGCCUUCGGGUUGUAAAACUCUUUCAAUAGGGAAGAUAA
rnacentral:rRNA from 1 species